rnacentral:misc_RNA from 2 species
AACGCACCUUGCACCCUUUGGUAUUCCAAAGGGUAUGCUCGUUUGAGUGUCAUUAUACUCUCACACUCUCUCUAAUUAGAGAGAGCGGUGGACUUGGGUGUUGCCUGGUACUUGCUGUCAGGCUCAUCUUAAAUGAGUUAGUGCAACUGCUAGUUGAACAUAGUACGGCGUGAUAAAUAAACCCUCGCUGUUUUACGUCUGAUUAGGAGCUCUGUGCUUCAAACCGUCUUCGGACAAUGUCUGAUAACUUGACCUCAAAUCGAGUAGGACUACCCGCUGAACUUAA